rfam:Schistosoma rodhaini strain Burundi genome assembly, scaffold: SROB_scaffold0000285
AUCGCGAGUCCCAAAUAGGACGAAACGCGCGUCCCGGAU